rnacentral:rRNA from 1 species
AACGAACGCUGGCGGCGGGCCUAACACAUGCAAGUCGAGCGCCCCGCAAGGGGAGCGGCGGACGGGUGAGUAACGCGUGGGAACGUGCCCUUUGCUACGGAAUAGCCCCGGGAAACUGGGAGUAAUACCGUAUAAGCCCUACGGGGGAAAGAUUUAUCGGCAAAGGAUCGGCCCGCGUUGGAUUAGGUAGUUGGUGGGGUAAUGGCCUACCAAGCCGACGAUCCAUAGCUGGUUUGAGAGGAUGAUCAGCCACACUGGGACUGAGACACGGCCCAGACUCCUACGGGAGGCAGCAGUGGGGAAUCUUAGACAAUGGGCGCAAGCCUGAUCUAGCCAUGCCGCGUGAGCGAUGAAGGCCUUAGGGUUGUAAAGCUCUUUCGUGGGGGAAGAUAAUGACUGUACCCCAAGAAGAAGCCCCGGCUAACUCCGUGCCAGCCGCCGCCGUAA